UACGUAGGGGGCAAGCGUUGUCCGGAUUUAUUGGGCGUAAAGAGCGUGUAGGCGGCCAGACAGGUCAGCUGUGAAAACUCGAGGCUCAACCUCGAGACGUCGGUUGAAACCAUCUGGCUAGAGUCCGGAAGAGGAGAGUGGAAUUCCCGGUGUAGCGGUGAAAUGCGCAGAUAUCGGGAAGAACACCCGUGGCGAAGGCGGCUCUCUGGGACGGUACUGACGCUGAGACGCGAAGGCGUGGGGAGCGAACAGG
rnacentral:rRNA from 1 species